CCCUUUUCCAUUUUUCACUAUAAUUUCAUCUAAUUUUAUGCUCCAUUGAUUUUUGUAUUUCUUCAUAUUGAUAUUUUUUUCGUUUCGGUUUAGGUUUAGCAUUUUCGGUUUAGGUUUAGCAUUUUCAUCGUCCUCUUUAAUUUGUCUCUUCUUUCUGCAUGACCUAAUUGUAUUUAUUUCCUCAGGACAAAGAAUCACUUUCUACAUAACGUUCUUUUUCUUCCUUUUUUCUCUUCUUCUGUUUUAGUCUUCUUUAUUGUUUUCUUCCUCUUUUCUUGACUACUCUCUUUGUUUUCUUUCAAUUUCUUUUUCUCUUCUUUCCUUUCAUGUGUUUCUUUGUGUCUUUUGAUCUGGUCACUCCUUCUAAAUUCCUUCCCACAAAUUUCACAUUCAUAAACCGUCCCAGUCCCGUGUUGAUAUUUAAUAUGUCUCUUUAGAUAAUACUCUAAACUAAACUGUAAACCACAUUCCUGACAUGUGUAUGUCUUAUCUUUGGUGUGUGUUUUUAUAUGUACAUUGAGUACACAUGAAUGAGCGAACGUUUUAUUACAAAUCUCACACUUAUAUGGGCGUGCUCCUGUGUGUAUGACCUUGUGAUUUUGAAGGGAUCUUUGAUUGACAAAACUUUUAUGACAAACAUCGCACUCUUCUAUUCCCUCACCCGUAUGAAUGUUUUCAUGAUAAUUUAAAUAACUUUCCGUUACAAAUCUUUUUCCACAGACCUGACACUCAAAAUCCUUGGCACUUUCGUCAUGACUUUUAGCAUGUGUUUUUAUAUAAUUUUUUCGAUAAUAUUUCUGACAUAUAUCACACUCAACCAGUUCCGAUUUCUGUUUCUGUCUAGUUGUCAAUCCAUCCCUUUUGUCUAGCGGAGAGAGAUUGUGUUUUUCAUUGAUAUGAACCUUGAGGUAUCUGUUCUGUGUAUAAACCUUAUGACAAAAAUGACAUUGGAAUGUCCCCGGAGCAUGUGAUCUUUCAUGUGCCUUUACCGAUUUCUCUGUUUUAUAACUUUGACCACAUAUCUUACAAGAGAAAAGCCUAUCCUUAUUGUGUGACUGGAUGUGAUUAUUUAAAUGAUCUUUUCUGAUGAAUCCUUUCCCACAUAUAUCACAGCUGAAGUUAGUCUCACCAUUGUGUUUCUGUAGAUGGAUAGCCAACUUAUAUUUCUGCAUAAAUGUAAUGCCACAGAUGUGGCAAACAUGUGGACGGUCACCUAAAAAUAGAAAAUACACAUAUGUGUAAACCUGUGUACUCAGAUGAGACAGACAUGUGGAUGGUCAC
rnacentral:lncRNA from 1 species